rnacentral:lncRNA from 11 species
AUGCAAGAAAAUGAGCCACUGAAUGAGGAGAAUCCGCAGAUAAAUGAACAGCUCCAGGAAGCAGAGACAGAGAAGACAGAGUGGGUUAAGGUGCUGAAAGAUGUCACCAUCCAAGUCCGUGUCACUGGGCGGACUGGCGACUGCGAGAAGGACUUCCUAAAGGACGUUGCUGACCACCUUUUCAGACAUGACAUCAACCUCAAGACAGAGGAUUACCAAGAGGACUCCGGCCACUUCCUGCUGGUCUUCUGCCCGGUGGUCUCCCGGAUGGGCACCGACAUGCAGAAUGCUAUGGAAGGCCUCCAAGGUGAGCCAAAGGCCAUCUUGGUGAUGCUGCAUCACAGACCGAAAGAAUACAACUACUUUGUGGACACCAAGCUGCAGGCGCAUCACCCGGCCGUGGUGCACAUCGCCCAUGCCCGGUAUACGCUCGAAGACGGCCUCUAUGACUGCCCGAUGAACAAGGAGGCUGUGGACGCUGUGGCCAAAGUCCUCAAAGACCACUUCAAAGAGGUGCAAGAGGACCCUGUGACCCCCGACUCUGCAACGGAAUGUGAACUGAAUCGCUGCCAGGAGUCUCAUGUCUGAGAGAAAGACAGAAGGAAAGGAUAAAAUUGUUACUACAGUUGGCUCUCUGUAUCCACAGUUUCCGUGUCUUAGAACACCUACAUCUAUUUAAGUAUCUAUAUGUAGCUCUCUAGCUAUACAAUAAAAAUAGGAAAUAGGUCUAGGUGUAUUUUCUAGACAUGCUCCCACAUCCAGAGAGCUCUGUGAAUCCCACCAACAAUGGAUCUGGACCAAACUUGGCACACAGACCCAUUGUGACCAACUUAAAAUACAGGUUGGGUUGGGAAUUGACUGAGGUUGAUGGGAGUUGUAGUCCACACACAUCCAGAGAGUCGAAUAAGUUCCACUAAUGAUGGAUCUGGAUUAACUUGACACACAGACACACAUCUCCCCUAAUGACCAAUAGAAAAUACUGGUUUGGAGGAGAUGAACCUUGGAUGAUGGGAGUUGCAGUCAACCCACAUAAAGAGAGCACUGUGAAUCCCACCAAUAAUGGAUCUGGACCAAACUUGGCACACAGACCCAUUGUGACCAACUUAAAAUAUAGGUUGGGUUGGGAAUUGACUGAGGUUGAUGGGAGUUGUAGUCCACACACAUCCAGAGAGUCGAGUGAGUUCCACUGAUGAUGGAUCUGGAUUAACCUGACACAGACACACAUCUCCCCUAACUACCAAUAGAAAAUACUGGAAAACCUUGGAUGAUGGGAGUUGCAGUCAACCCACAUAAAGAGAGCACUGUGAAUCCCAUCAAUGAUGGAUCUGGACCAACCUUGGACCCAUCAUGACCAACCUAAAAUACUGGUAGGUUUGGGGAGAAUUGACUUAAUGUCAUGG